UGGCAACACCAGAUCCUUAACCUACUGAGUGAGGUCAGGGAUUGAAUCCACAUCCUCAGACAGUAUCGAGUUCUUAACCCUCUGAGCCACAAUGGGAACUCCAACUCCACUAUUAUUCUAUUUCAGAACGUGCAUGUCCCUUCCUGGAUUAAAACUACCAAGAGCAGUAUUUAUGGCAAAUUCACUUACCAACAGUAUGGAGCAGGAUACCAUUGUAAAUAAUUUUGCUGAAUGAAUGAAACUUAUUAAGAGGUAGGAAAAUGGUUCCCGAAGACUCCUCCUAGUUUUCACACUUAUUUGACAACCAUGGCCUGGUUUGGGGGAGUGAGGCUGGUGGCAGGGGAAGAAGAGAGCAGAUCUGGGCAGGGCAGGGAGGGAAGGACUCAGCCAAAGCUUCUUAUAAGCCAAAGCAUCCCGUAAGAAAUCACAACCGUUUCACUGAUGCUUCUCCUGCUUAGAGAAUAACAGAGUGAGAAUCUGGCUCAUUGAAUCUAAGGCAGGGGGGGCAGGGAUCAAAGAAGACACUCAAGAUGGGCAGGUUGUUGGUUCCCCUAAAGCCUCUGAGAAUUCUCCCUUCUGCUCUGCCCUUUCUAGUUAAUGGGGGGCUUCCAGUUUAUAGCCUACACAAGCCUUUAGUUCGGCUUGGGCUGUUUAGUCGGUAUCCAAGCAUCGGAAUAUCUCUGACAAGGAUUCCCACUGACGGGUAGGGUCACAAGCCCCCACCUCCUACCCACCCAGACAGGCCUUCAGAGACCUGGCUGGAGCCUGCCCUGGCAACGAAAGACGCCCUCUAGCGCUGCUCCUAAAUCAGCACCUGUGGGGGCGGCGUGAUGCUGCAAGCCCCUCCUUACCGGGAGGGAUCCUAUUCGUAAUGGCCUAAAAUACUCUGGGCUGCUGUGACUCACGCCCGCCUGACAUUUGCCUAAUUAAUUCUGGCUCUUACAUUCCCCACUCGAAGGCUUGUCAGGGAAGGCGCGGGGAGUGAGCGCCAAGAACUCAGGUGAAUGUGUGGCAGGGCCUGCAAAAGGCCGGGCAGUGAGGAAGUGAAAGAGGCCAGCACCUGGGCCUCCCGGGUCUCCAGGCAACUUGCUGGGGCAGCUGACUUUUCCGCAGCCGCGCUGGAAAGGCCUGGGCAAGACAGAGGUUCAGAGGGGCCUGUGAGAGGAUGCCAGAGGCUGGGGCCUGCCCUCUCGUUACUGGUCGGCAUCAAUACAGAUGCACUCUGGGCAGCCCUGCAUUGCCAGGGGAAGGUGAAGGUCUUCAAGCAUCUGCGCUGGGGUCGGGAGACAGGUGGGGAAGGUUCCACUUUGUAGUGUCAACUGGGUCUUGAUGGGGCUAAAGAUCUAUGAGGAUGCCGUUGAGGCAUUCUAGCUAUCAGAAAUGGGCGCUUUGGAGUUCCCAUUGUGUCUUAGAGGGUUAAGAACCUGACAUAGUGUCCAUGAGGAUGAGGGUUCAAUGCCUGGUCUUGCUCAGUUGGUUAAGGAUCUGGUGUUACCGCAAGCUGCUGCAUGGGUCACAGGUGUGGCUCGGAUCUGGUGUGGCUGUGGUGCAGGCCAGCAGCCGCAGCUCUGAUUCGACCCCUAGCCUGGGAACAUCCAUAUGCUGCAGAUGUGGCCAUAAAAAGACAAAAAGAAAAGAAAGAAAACACUUUAAAAACCUCUGAAGGUGAUUCUGCCACAAACUGUCCUCCCUCAGACACCUGUAGACAGUGUUGGAUCACAUGACCAUCGCAUGAUAAGAGGUUCCCCUCGGAAGCGCCCAUAGCCCCCUUUGAUAAUGCUGCUCGCCUCAUUAAACCCUGCUCUCUAAACUCGUGGGGCAGAAGCCCAGCACCAGGUCAAUCCAGUUCCCUUCUCCUUGGAUGCCAUGGUGCUGUUGUAGAAACACAUAUAUCAGUGAAAAAAAAAAAUGUUGCCAGCCCUAUCAGUGAACAAAGGAUGCUGCAGCCAUCAAGUCACUGCAGUCCCUCUUGGUCUCUGCAGCCUGAGAGCCCCAAGGGAACUCCGGAUGGAGAGAAAUAGCCCUCAGCCACGGCAGCCACCUCUAACUGUGCCAACCUGAGGUGACUCAGGAUAAGAAUGUACAGGAUCCUGGCCCCACAGCACUGAGAUGCACCUCAAAGGAAUGAUUUUGGG
rnacentral:lncRNA from 1 species